rnacentral:rRNA from 1 species
GAUGAACGCUGGCGGCGUGCUUAACACAUGCAAGUCGAACGAAGCACUUUAUUUGAUUUCCUUCGGGACUGAUUAUUUUGUGACUGAGUGGCGGACGGGUGAGUAACGCGUGGGUAACCUGCCUUGUACAGGGGGAUAACAGUUGGAAACGGCUGCUAAUACCGCAUAAGCGCACGGCAUCGCAUGAUGCAGUGUGAAAAACUCCGGUGGUAUAAGAUGGACCCGCGUUGGAUUAGCUAGUUGGUGAGGUAACGGCCCACCAAGGCGACGAUCCAUAGCCGACCUGAGAGGGUGACCGGCCACAUUGGGACUGAGACACGGCCCAAACUCCUACGGGAGGCAGCAGUGGGGAAUAUUGCACAAUGGGCGAAAGCCUGAUGCAGCGACGCCGCGUGAGCGAAGAAGUAUUUCGGUAUGUAAAGCUCUAUCAGCA